AGACUCUUGAGCUGAUCUAAUUUGAUUAGAUUAGGGUUACAUCAAGAGUCUGUGUCUACUACUGGUUAAAUUUAGAAUCCAAUGGAUCACACACUUUAAAAUUUAAUCUUGAUCUAAUUUAAUUAGAUUAUAAUUAAAUUUUAGGGGUUAAUUUGAUAUGCUAGCACAUUGUGUUAACCUAAGUUCCUAAAUAGAUUCAGUUCAAAAUAUUUGAGCUAAACUAAACCAGUUGCCUUUGACCUAAUGGAAUUGAAUCUAAUUUAAUUUGAUUCUCAUCCAACAUGGAAGUAUUUCAAGUAUGGAAGGAGUCCUCUACGCCCACC
rnacentral:lncRNA from 1 species